UUCUUCUAAAAGUUCACCAAUACAAGCUAUCACACCAAGGCCUUGGCUCAAGGCAUAAGCAGCCUUCUUUCCUAUAAACUCAUUGUUUUCACCAAUUAUAUGCCUGCGCUCGGAAUGCCCAAGAAUAACCCACUUGCAGCCAAUAUCUUUCAGUUGUUCCACGCUGAUUUCUCCUGUGAAUGCUCCACCUUUUCCAACCCAGGAAUUUUGAGCAGAUAUCUCAAUUCUAUCUGAUAAGGAAGCCUUUACCUGAUCGAUGUAAAGAAAGGGAGGUGCUACAACAACAUCAACAUCAGUCUCCAAUUUUGUAUCAUUUAAGUCAGAAACAAGCUUAGUGAUAGAUUCCUUUGUCCCAUUACACUUCCAAUUCCCCCCAACAAAGAACGUUCCAGUGCCCGCCAUGGCGACGACGUGUCUGGAAGGUUUGCGAGGAGAAGAACAGCGGAGUUGAGAAUUGAAAUGAGGGAGAAAGGAAGAGUGAGAGUUGGUGGCGUCGAGCUUAGUGCAUAAUCGGCGGAGACCGGAGAAAUGAGGAGCUGAAUAUGAAAUAGCUGAUUUGGGGCCGGAGAGAGAUGUUGAGAGCAUCGCCAUGGUUUAGUCGGCUAUGGCUUUUCACUUUCUCUACGGUGGUCUGUGGAAGAG
rnacentral:misc_RNA from 1 species